rnacentral:rRNA from 1 species
CUUAUGCAUGCAAGUCGAGCGAAGCUUUUCAGUAGUUUACUACAGAAAAUGACUGAGCGGCGAACGGGUGAGUAACGCGUGAGCAACCUACCUUAGUUACUGGGAUAGCCCGAGGAAACUCGGAUUAAUACCGGAUAUUCUUAUUUAAUCACAUGAUUUUUUAAGGAAAGGUCAGCCGAACUAAGAUGGCUCGCGUUCUAUCAGCUAGUUGGUAGGGUAAUGGCCUACCAAGGCUACGACGGAUAGCUGGUCUGAGAGGACGAUCAGCCACACUGGGACUGAGACACGGCCCAGACUCCUACGGGAGGCUGCAGCAGGGAAUAUUGCGCAAUGAGCGAAAGCUUGACGCAGCGACACCGCGUGUGGGAUGACGGAUCUAGGUUUGUAAACCACUUUCAGGAGGGAAGAAAAUGACGGUACCUCCACAAGAAGCCCCGGCCAACUACGUGCCAGCAGCCGCGGUAAUACGUAGGGGGCGAGCGUUGUCCGGAUUUAUUGGGCGUAAAGAGCUCGUAGGCGGUUCAACAAGUCGGUCGUGAAAGUUCAGGGCUCAACCCUGAAAUGUCGAUCGAUACUGUUGUGACUAGGAUACGGUAGAGGUGAGUGGAAUUCCGAGUGUAGCGGUGAAAUGCGUAGAUAUUCGGAGGAACACCAAUUGCGAAGGCAGCUCACUGGGCCGCUAUCGACGCUGAGGAGCGAAAGCUAGGGGAGCAAACAGGAUUAGAUACCCUGGUAGUCCUAGCUGUAAACGAUGGAUACUAGACGUAGGAAUUGGUUUAACGAUUUCUGUGUCGUAGCUAACGCGUUAAGUAUCCCGCCUGGGGAGUACGGUCGCAAGACUAAAACUCAAAGGAAUUGACGGGACCCCGCACAAGCGGCGGAGCAUGCGGCUUAAUUCGAUGAUACCCGUAGAACCUUACCUGGACUUGACAUAU